GCCAGGAAUGGUGAUGCCUGCUUAUGGUCCUAGCUACUUGGGAGGCUGAGGCAGAAGGAUCAUUGUCAGCCCAGGAAUUCAGGGUCACCCUGGGUGACACAGUGAGAACUUAUUUCUU
rnacentral:sRNA from 1 species